CAUCCCUCCAUUGCUGAACUCCACUCCCCUCCCUCUUGGCUGAGCUUUCCCUCAGACUGUUUGUCUUUUUUUUUUUUUUUUUUACUAUUGGGCUGGAAAUUCCUUUUCUUUCAUUUCCUUUCCCCUUCUCACCUCCUCCAACCUCCCCUGAAACUAACAAGUCAGUUUUUGUCAAUUCCACAGCUCCGUCAACCAGGCUUUAUCCCUAGCUUUGCUCAAGGUUCCCGCUCCACAGAUUGACGCAAUGCUUCCUUCUCCUUUACCUCACUUCCAGUUGACAGCAGGUGCUGAUAGCUAACUGUCUGGGACAAGCUCUCCCCGGAGAGAAAGCUACACACAUUCAAAAUCGCAUGGAGAGAAUGCAGGGAGACAUGAACACAUCUACCAGGGAAGCCAUCGAUAAGAGGCACAAUAAAUUUUUUCCUUGCCUCACACUCCAAAAGCACAUGUCCAACUGUUUCAGGCAACUUUGCCUUACAAAUACAGUAACGGUUUUCCAGAGAAAUGCCAUUGAAGCGACCUGACAGGAGUGCAGAAGGGCUUUGAAGUUUGCAAUUGGAAAAUUCUGAAUUUUCUCUACUGGACUUUCUGCAAGCAACUUCUUCAUUUAUGUCUUGCUGAAUGCAUUGGACUUUGGGAAUUAUUAUGUUAAGAAGAUAUAUGAUAUAUUCUGUUGGCAUACA